rnacentral:lncRNA from 1 species
AACAGGACAAGAAGCUCAACAAAGGCCCAGAGCUGCCACUAUUACAAGGCAGCAAAUGGCAGUGAAAAGCAGGAUUUCCUUGACCCUUUUGCUCUGCUCUCACUCCCUGUGCUCCAUUUCAGGCAGCGGCCAAGCCGUGUCCUGACUCAGCUGCCCUGCACACUGCUGCACCUGCUCAUGAGCAUUCAUACCCAUGUGAUUAGCCAGGGCCGUGGCCUGGGGGAGGUGCAUGCUGCACUCACCAAUGGCCCAGGCUGCAGUACUGGCUGCUCAUGACAGAAGAAGGGACUGGCAAGUGGUGAAACUGGAAUGCACCACUUUUAGUUGUUGGGAAGACAAAUGUCUGUGAGCUGAUACAAGAGAAGCAAUCUGCUUGAAACAGUCUCAUCAGAAAAGUUGUACAGGCAGAUGGGGACAUUCAAGAAGUCAGCUGAGAGAGACACGUGUGAAGUUCAGGGACAUCACCAAACAGACCAACAUGAGAAGAAUACAGACUUUUGUACAUAUUUAAAGGUGAUUUUUGGAGCUGAUCUUGAUUUCAACUUGACACUUUGGGGAAAAUAUAAACUUUGCCUAUAUGGACUGUAGUUUUCUAGAAGCACCACUGAUCUGCGAACAGAAUUAUCUUCUGCCAUUAAAAGAAAACUGUGGGGCAAGGAUUUGGACUGUGAACAGUCUAUCUGGUUGGCAAAACAGUACCAUGGAGAGAAGAGAAAUCUUCAUAAGAAGGCUGUUAAAGGAGAUCAUCUACAAUUGUUUGCUUAACCAGAUGAACUGUACAUCCAGUGGAUUGAACUCCCUAAUAAGGAAGAACAAUUUCAGUGACUUGAGAUGGAAAACUACCAAAAUUAUCUCAAUUUUGAAGAUCAUCACUACAGACAUAUGCAUUCUCGGAGCCAAAGUUUACAAUACUUUAUAAUCUAAGCUGACAAUUUUUCACUUCCUGUUUGCUACUGUUGUUUUCAUGAUGUCUUGAGUUGUUUGAUACAAAAUCUAAAUUAGUCUUGAGAAAUAGGAUUAACCUUUCCAAUCACAUUUAAGGUGAAAUUGCUUAACUACAGCAAACAGUGUCAUGCAGCAGAUAAUCCUUGUCCUUGAUUAAUGGUUUUAUAAUCAAUUGCUGUCUGGAAGUGACUCCUUCCCAUCACACUCUUCACAAAAAGAGCAGAUGGUAUUUAAAAGGUUAUGGCAAGAGGGCAUUUCAGAGGUCAAACAGAACAUCGAUCAAGUGGGCAGAAAAAUUGCUUUUUUCCUUCCCUUCUCUUUUUCCUCACAAUCCAUGAGGGAAUGUGGUUUAUGAAUUAUAGUUUGAUCUAUAGUUCAAGCACUAAAAUGUUUUCUUGUUUCAAAUUUCUUUGUUGUUUUGGGUAAUGAACCUGGAAAUUGGAUUCCUUUUGUGCCAAUAAAAAAUUGUGCCCAAUGCA